AUCUGAGAGCUUUGUAGAGAGCGACAGCUGCAGAGGCUCAAAGUGAGGAGAAAACGCUCCAGCUGGGUUCAGGGUCUUUGUGCCAGUGAAGCUCGGACUCCAAGGAGGCAGGGUAGCAGUCCCCGAACAGUGAAAGAGAGUAGACUGCAGUCUCCACUAACUAACCACGAGGAAGGGGCUGAUGACCAAUUUUUAACCCACCAUAACCUUCUCCUCAGGACAAGAAACCUCUGUGGCACCUGAGUUCUUGUCCUGCCUCCAGGAAGAAUGAGGUCAUGAGGUACACAGACAAGUGAAGGGUGAAGAAGAUGCAGAGAAGCUUUAUUGAAUGCUAGAACAGCUCAGAGGUGAUCUGCAGUGAGCUCCUCUCUGUAGACUCUCCACCAUGGAAUCCACCACCUUCUGCACCCACAGCUGCUGUGUGACGACCCUUCACUGCCUGCCCGAAGAGUUGAUUUUUGACUGUCAUGGAGCGCCUGAUGCGUGGAUGCACCACGGUUUGUUUAUCUGCUCAUCUGUUGUGAGUAUCUGGGCUGUCUCCACCUUUCACCUAUUCUGAAUGAGGCUUCUAUGAAUAUUGAGGUACAAGGCUUUGUCAAGACAUGCAGUUCCUUUUCUCUUGGUGAAUACUUAAGAGUGGGAUGGCUGGACCAUACGUUAGGUGACUGUUUACUUUUAAAGAAACUGCCAUACAGUUUUCCAAAAUAGUUUUUACAUUUUUACACUCUUUUACAUUCCUAUCAGCAGGGUGUGAGUUUCAGUUUCUGCACAUUGUGGCCAACACUGGGUAUGAUCAUUCUGUGUAAUUUUAUUACCACUCCAAUAGGUAGGAAUGGUAUCUCAUUGUUUUAAUUUGAAUUGUCUCAAUUACUAUGAUGUUGAGUAUCUUUUCAUGUGCCUGUCAUCUGUGUAGCUUCUUUGCUCACAGAUGUAAUUUUUUCCUGCAUCUAUUGAAAUGAUCGUAUAGUUUUCUUUUUCAGUUUGUUAAUGUGGUUAAUUAAACUGGUUGAUAUUUGAAUAUUAAGCCACAUAUGAGAAAAAACAUAUUUAGUAGUGAUGUAUUAUUCUUUGAAUGUAUUGCUGGAUUCAGUUUGCUAAAAUUUUAAUUAGAAUAUUUGUGUCUAAGUUCAUGGGGGAUAUGGACGUGUAGUUUUCCUUUCU
rnacentral:lncRNA from 1 species